UACGGGAGGCAGCAGUGGGGAAUAUUGCACAAUGGGCGCAAGCCUGAUGCAGCCAUGCCGCGUGUAUGAAGAAGGCCUUCGGGUUGUAAAGUACUUUCAGUCGUGAGGAAGGUGUUAAGGUUAAUAACCUUAGCAAUUGACGUUAGCGACAGAAGAAGCACCGGCUAACUCCGUGCCAGCAGCCGCGGUAAUACGGAGGGUGCGAGCGUUAAUCGGAAUUACUGGGCGUAAAGGGCACGCAGGCGGUUAAUUAAGUUGGAUGUGAAAUCCCCGGGCUUAACCUGGGAAUGGCAUUCAAGACUGGUUAGCUAGAGUCUUGUAGAGGGGGUUAGAAUUCCAUGUGUAGCGGUGAAAUGCGUAGAGAUGUGGAGGAAUACCGGUGGCGAAGGCGGCCCCUGGACAAAGGCUGACGCUCAUGUGCGAAAGCGUGGGGAGCAAAC
rnacentral:rRNA from 1 species